CAGUCGCCGCGGGAAUACGUAGGGUGCAAGCGUUAAUCGGAAUUACUGGGCGUAAAGCGUGCGCAGGCGGUGUUGUAAGACUGAUGUGAAAUCCCCGGGCUCAACCUGGGAACUGCAUUGGUGACUGCAGCGCUGGAGUGCGGCAGAGGGGGAUGGAAUUCCGCGUGUAGCAGUGAAAUGCGUAGAUAUGCGGAGGAACACCGAUGGCGAAGGCAAUCCCCUGGGCCUGCACUGACGCUCAUGCACGAAAGCGUGGGGAGCAAACAGGAUUAGAUACCCCCGUAGUCCCUGUCUCUUAUAC
rnacentral:rRNA from 1 species